AUGGAAUUGGCCCUUGUGUCCUGCAACACACAUACGGUUAAGGCAUUGCCACCUACUUAGCGACAUCUCUAACCAUGUUUUGUA
rnacentral:ncRNA from 1 species